AGGAUCAACGCUGGCGGCGUGCAUGAGACAUGCAAGUCGAACGGACGAUCAAAGCUUGCUUUGUUCGUUAGUGGCGGACGGCUGAGUAACGCGUGGGUGACCUGCCCCGAAGUGGGGAAUAACUGCCCGAAAGGGUGGCUAAUACCGCAUGUGGUGAUGUGUUCAAUCGCAUCACCAAAGCCGUAAGGCGCUUCGGGAGGGGCCUGCGUCCGAUUAGCUCGUUGGUGGGUAACGGCUUACCAAGGCGACGAUCGGUAGGUGGUCUGAGAGGAUGAUCACCCAGACUGGGACUGAGACACGGCCCAGACUCCUACGGGAGGCAGCAGUCGGGAAUUUUGCGCAAUGGACGAAAGUCUGACGCAGCAACGCCGCGUGAGGGAUGAAGGCCUUCGGGUUGUAAACCUCUUUCUCAGGGACGAUAAUGACGGUACCUGAGGAAUAAGCCACGGCUAACUACGUGCCAGCAGCCGC
rnacentral:rRNA from 1 species